rnacentral:rRNA from 1 species
AACGAACGCUGGCGGCGUGCCUAACACAUGCAAGUCGAACGAGAAAGGGGCUUCGGCUCCGAGUAAAGUGGCGCACGGGUGAGUAACACGUGGGUAACCUGCCUCUAAGAUUGGGAUAACUCGUCGAAAGAUGAGCUAAUACCGAAUAAGACCACAGUUCCCGCGGGAACAGGGGUCAAAGGUAGCCUCUGCUUGCAAGCUAUCACUUAGAGAUGGGCCUGCGCACCAUUAGCUAGUUGGUAGGGUAACGGCCUACCAAGGCAAAGAUGGUUACCUGGUCUGCGAGGAUGAUCAGACACACUGGAAUUGAGACACGGUCCAGACUCCUACGGGAGGCAGCAGUGGGGAAUAUUGCGCAAUGGGCGAAAGCUUGACGCAGCAACGCCGCGUGAGUGAUGAAGGCCUUCGGGUCGUAAAGCUCUGUCGGGAGGAACGAAUGCUCCUGAGGUUAACAGCCUCGGGAGGUGACGGUACCUUCAAAGGAAGCACCGGCUAACUCUGUG